UACGUAGGGCGCAAGCGUUAUCCGGAAUUAUUGGGCGUAAAGAGCUCGUAGGCGGUUUGUCGCGUCUGCCGUGAAAGUCCGGGGCUCAACUCCGGAUCUGCGGUGGGUACGGGCAGACUAGAGUGAUGUAGGGGAGACUGGAAUUCCUGGUGUAGCGGUGAAAUGCGCAGAUAUCAGGAGGAACACCGGUGGCGAAGGCGGUUCUCUGGGCCUGACCUGACGCUGAGGAGCGAAAGCGUGGGGAGCGAACAGG
rnacentral:rRNA from 1 species